rnacentral:tRNA from 1 species
GGAGUGUAGGUGAGUGGUAGAAUGCUUGCCUAGCAUGUGUGAGGUCCUGGGUUCAAUCCCCAGAACCCA